UGAAUCAGAUCAACACGAGGUUUUCCAAUGUGUUUUGUCUUUCCUUGCACAUUUUUCGGGAAAACUUCCCAGAAGGUCACCCACGCUUAACCAUGAAGUUCUUAUGGGUUAGGCUACUGAAAAGCAAAUGCAUUUGUUGAUAUGGGUAGCCAAAUUAAUUCCUUUAAGUUAUCUAUCAACCGUAUAGUCUCAUGUAUGUUCGAUUCGUCUAUGUGCUCCUUCCGCUGGAAGCCUGCCAAGAGUCGCUCCUUGUCCGUGCCUCUUGCACCAGGGAUCACUCCCCGCCCUCAUCAGUGCCCGGGUGUCACAUGUAGCUUUCUCAUUCUUAUCUUCCACGACGUAUAAUUUUCUCUUUUUCCCAACACAUAAUCUUCUCCUUUUCCUUUUCAUCCUAGCGUAUAUGAUAAUUUGGCUUCUGCAAGGAAACGAAACAAAACAUGUACUGAGAUUGAAAGUAGUUACGGAGAUAAGGAAUAGAAAUUAUAGAGCUUGGUUCCUCUUUGAUCAAAACUGUCCAAACCAUUAGGUUGCUGAAAGCAAGUAUAAAACGUCAACUUUCUAGUUUAAUGAAAUCAACAAAAAAAAUCAGAAAUAUAUAGAAGAGUGAAAGUGAGAAUAAUAUGAGUUUCUUGAUGAAUAGAAGAGGCAUAGAACCUUCAAAGGGAGUAGCAGUAGAGCAACGAGAGAUAGCAAAACUUUCUCGACUGAGAUAGUGGAGUUAACCUUUUCUUUCUAUGGAUUGUAUGAAUACCUUGUAGUGUAAAUCUGAAAUGUGUGUUCCGAUCUUUUGGUUGUUGCUGCUGCCUUGUCUAAUGAAUCUGUUGAGAUGCAUAUUACGGUCUAGGAAAAAUGUGAACUGAAUGUUGAUGACUGAAAGAGAAAGCUCCAUAAGCGUAAACGUAUUAUUG
rnacentral:lncRNA from 1 species